AUGCAUCCUCCUCCAAAGCUGCUCCUCCUCCUCCUCCUCCUCGCGGUGCUGCUCGCCGCCUCACCGCAUGCGCUGGCGGAGCCGCCACCGGCGGCAGCCACCUGCACGCCGCAGGAGCGGGAUGCGCUGCUGGCCUUCAAGCAAGGGAUCACCAUCAGCAGCGACGCCGCCGGCCUCCUCGCCUCAUGGCGCGAAGACGACUGCUGCCGGUGGAGGGGCGUCCGGUGCAGCAACCGGACAGGCCAUGUCGUUGCGCUCAACCUUCGAGGCCAGGGACUGGCCGGCGAGAUAAGCCCUUCCUUGCUCUCCCUGCCGCACCUGGAGCAUCUUGAUCUCAGCUCCAACCGCCUCGUGGGCCCGGCUGGCAGUAUUCCCGAAUUUCUGGCUUCUGGGUUCUCUGGGAAACCUGAGAUAUCUCGACCUAUCCGGAGCGCCGUAUUCUGGGGAAGCGCCGUUUUCUGGCCAAGUUCCAUACCUCAUCAUCUAUCAAAUCUAACAAUGAUAACAACACCAUAUGUACACGUUCCUGGCGCCGUCGUUGCAAGUUUCCAAAGUAUAGUUGGUGAUAUGCCAGUAGUCAUCAAGAGGCAAGAACUUGAAUACAAAGGUGUUGCUAUUUUGGAGAUAUUGAGCAUUGACUUCUCUUGCAACUAUUUAACCGGUAAAAUUCCAGAGGAAAUCACAUCUCUUGGUGGAUUGAUAAAUCUGAACUUGUCAUGGAAUCAAUUGAAUGGAGGAUUACCAAAGAAGAUUGGGGACAUGCAGAUGUUGGAGUCACUUGACUUCUCGAACAAUGAUAUUUCAGGAGAAAUUCCGUCAAGCUUGUCAAAUCUAACAUACUUGAGCAUUCUGGACCUGUCAUAUAAUCAUCUAGCAGGAAUAAUACCAUCAGGAGUUCAACUUGACACUCUUUACACGGAGUAUCCAUCCAUAUACAAUGGCAACACUGGCCUUUAUGGUCCCAUCCUUCAUAAAAGUUGCUCAGUCAACAAUAAUGCACCACAGCGUGACCAUCAACAGAGAAGUAAAAAAGUUUCAGAGUCGACGUUGUUCUUUUACUUUGGACUUGGGUCGGGGUUUGUGGCUGGCCUCUGGGUUGUGUUUUGUGCUCUGCUCUUCAAGAAAGCAUGGAGGGUUGCUUAUUUCCGCUUCUUUGACAAGGUGCAUGACAAAGCCUAUGUGUUCAUAAUUGUCACUUGGGGCAGGUUUGCCAGGAAAAGGUGA
rnacentral:rRNA from 1 species